rnacentral:rRNA from 1 species
CCUACGGGAGGCACCAGUGGGGAAUAUUGCACAAUGGGCGCAAGCCUGAUGCAGCCAUGCCGCGUGUAUGAAGAAGGCCUUCGGGUUGUAAAGUACUUUCAGCGGGGAGGAAGGCGGUGAGGUUAAUAACCUCGCCGAUUGACGUUACCCGUAGAAGAAGCACCGGCUAACUCCGUGCCAGCAGCCGCGGUAAUACGGAGGGUGCAAGCGUUAAUCGGAAUUACUGGGCGUAAAGCGCACGCAGGCGGUCUGUUAAGUCAGAUGUGAAAUCCCCGGGCUCAACCUGGGAACUGCAUUCGAAACUGGCAGGCUAGAGUCUUGUAGAGGGGGGUAGAAUUCCAGGUGUAGCGGUGAAAUGCGUAGAGAUCUGGAGGAAUACCGGUGGCGAAGGCGGCCCCCUGGACAAAGACUGACGCUCAGGUGCGAAAGCGUGGGGAGCAAACAGGAUUAGAUACCCUCGUAGUC